rnacentral:rRNA from 1 species
GACGACGCUGGCGGCGUGGAUUAGGCAUGCAAGUCGAACGGUAUCAUCCUUCGGGGGUGAGAGAGUGGCGAACUGGUGAGUAACACGUAGGUUAUCUACCCUCAAGACGGGGACAAACCCAGGGAAACUUGGGCUAAUACCGGAUGUGAGCAACUUUUAGUUGUUUGAAAGGUGGCGUAAGCUGUCGCUUGGGGAUGAGCCUGCGUCCUAUUAGUUAGUUGGUGAGGUAACGGCUCACCUAGGCAAUGAUAGGUAGGCGGCCUUAACGGGUGGUCGCCCACACUGGGAUUGAGAUACGGCCCAGACUCCUACGGGAGGCAGCAGUCGAGAAUAGUCUACAAUGGUCGGAAGACUGAUAGUGCGACGCCGCGUGAACGAUGAAUCCCUUCGGGGUGUAAAGUUCUUUUAUAUGUGAGCAGUGCUUCUUAUAUUAACAGUAUGGGGAGAGAGAUAUUAGCAUAUGAAUAAGCAACGGCUAACUCCGUG